rnacentral:rRNA from 1 species
AUUGAACGCUGGCGGCAUGCCUUACACAUGCAAGUCGAACGGCAGCACGGGAGCUUGCUCCUGGUGGCGAGUGGCGAACGGGUGAGUAAUACAUCGGAACGUACCCAGUAGUGGGGGAUAACGCACCGAAAGGUGCGCUAAUACCGCAUACGACCUACGGGUGAACGCGGGGGACCGUAAGGCCUCGCGCUAUUGGAGAGGCCGAAGUCUGAGUAGCUAGUUGGGGAGGUAAAGGACCACCAAGGCUUCGAUCAGUAGCUGGUCUGAGAGGACGAUCAGCCACACUGGGACUAAGACACGGCCCAGACUCCUACGGGAGGCAGCAGGGGGGAAUUUUGGACAAUGGGCGAAAGCCUGAUCCAGCAAUGCCGCGUGUGCGAAGAAGGCCUUCGGGUUGUAAAGCACUUUUGUCAGGGAAGAAAUCUUUUAGGCUAAUACCCUGGAAGGAUGACGGUACCUGAAGGAUAAGCACCGGCUAACUACGUGCCAGCCGCCGCCGUAA